GAGACACCCAAAUGGGGCAGGACUUGUUUCAGUGUGGCUUUGGUGCUCAACUGAGUCUGCCCCUUGCGUGUGUCUCU
rnacentral:pre_miRNA from 1 species